GCCUAGGCUCUGGGAGGCGAUGAAGGACGUGAUAAGCUGCGAUAAGCUCGGGGGUGGUGCAAAUAACCUUUGAUCCCGAGAUUUCCGAAUGGGGCAACCCAACAUAGUGAAGCUAUGUUAUUCCACGAAUGUGGAAGGCAAACGAGGGGAACUGAAACAUCUAAGUACCCUUAGGAGAAGAAAACAAAAGUGAUUGCGCAAGUAGUGGCGAGCGAACGCGCAGUAGCCCAAACCAAAUAUGUAGCAAUGCAUAUUUGGGGUUGUAGGACUGCGAUAUUUUGAAUUAAAAAAGAACUGGAACAUUUUGGAAAAGUGAUCAUAGAGGGUGAUAAUCCCGUACAGGUAAGAUUUUAAUUUGAUAGCAGUAUCCUGAGUAGUGCGGGACACGAGAAAUCCUGUAUGAAUUCGCCGGGACCAUCCGGUAAGGCUAAAUACUCCCCAGAGACCGAUAGUGAACCAGUACCGUGAGGGAAAGGUAGAAAAGUACUUCGAAUAGAAGAGUGAAAUAGACCCUGAACCCGUUCGCUUACAAGCGGUCGGAGCCAC
rnacentral:rRNA from 1 species